ACAUGAGUUAAAUGCAACACCUGUCAAUAUGGAUUAUUAUGUUUUAUAUUAUUAUUUUAUAUGGUAUGUAUUUAAACUCAAUAGUUGAUAAUUAACAAUAAAACACACAUUUUAGGAACAAAUGGAGAAAUAACACUCACAGUGGUAUUGAUAACUGUAGUUACAUGUAUGUGGACACCCAGUAGCAUAUUGUUUUCCUUUAACUUCAAUUUGAAUCUCAGUUUUUCAUAUCAACAUCCAACAUAACAGAUUACAUAGUUGUAGUUAAAACUGAUUUCUUUGCAGUAUGUGAGAACAAAACAGGUUGCAAAACUGUCAAAAGUUGCAAUUUAAUGCUGUAAUAUGCACGUUUGCAUUGUUAUUAAUAUGCAUAUACUGUAUUUGUUAAUGUCUUCUUUAUUAUAAUACAAUUCAUCACAUCUUUGAAAAAUUUGAAUAGAUAAACUAGCUGGUUACAGAAAUCAAACUUUAUUCAAUCUGACUCCACUGUUGCAAGACGUCCACAUACGAAGACAGUUGGUGUUUUUAUGUAUAAAAACUACAUUUUACUCUAAAUUUUAAUUUAUAAAACUUAAACCUGUUAAUUCUUUACUGUACAUAGUACUUUUUCUUUCUUUUUUUUUUAUCUUGACUGACCUUGAAUAAAAGUUUUUCACAGAUAUGCCUGAGGCAUUUAGCACAUGGCCAGCAACAGGUCAUCAAGCAAUAAAUAUUUCAAAAACAACAGAGUAACCACUGUUAGUGUUGCUAUCAAUCAGCUGACACUGUACUCAAAUGACUUGGAGAACAUAAUAACCAUGUAACCAAAAUGUGUGAGAGACCCAGGUUCAAAUCCACUGUGAGACACCAUUGUGUCCCUGAGCAAGACACUUAACCCCUCGUUGUUCCAGAGGCGUGCGACCUCUGACAGCAGUUGUAAGUCACUUUGGAUAAAAGCAUCAGCUAAAUGUAUAAAUGUAACCAAAAACCAGUAACAAAAAUGGAGAAAUAAUAACAAAUAUGAAAGUAUAAUAACAAAAUAACAUAAUAUAAUAACAAAAAUGGAGUAAAAUAACUGUCCACAAAUGUAGACACCAUGCAUAAAAGGGUUAAAAUAUGGAUUUGAGUCGUUUGGGUAAGACGCCCCACCUAAGCUCAGUGUCCACACAUAAAAGAACAUUUUAUUUGGUUUGUACCUUGAAGGCUGUGAUUAUGGUAAGGUGUUAUAAAGUAAAAUAAAUAAAUAAUAAUAAAUAAAAAUAAAUAACUACAGUUGACAAAAUAAUUUGUAAUGAAUCAAAUGUAUUUUUUAUGGAAAAGGCAUUUUCCACUGGGGUAAGGUGCCCCUCCAUGGGGUAAAAUCACUUUAAUAGGUACAAAUUACAGAUAAAAUAAACUUCAAGCAGGUGAUUACAUGAUAACCAUGUUUUAGAAAUAAUCUUAAAUAAAAUAAAUUAGAAAUAAAAGCCUUAUGGUUUUAGCUUUCCUAUCAUUUAUUUUGUUAGACUUUAAAUUAAUGAGGUUUCUGGGAACUUCAUUAGCAGAAAGUCUGAGGGAAAAUAAGCGCUAGUGCUACAUGAGCAUAACCUCAGAAUUUUACCUCAGACUUUCUGAUUGUGAAGGGGCUGUCCAGUGUCUAAAAAACACCUAACUUACAAAUGAUGACCCCGGGGGGGCAUCUCACCCCAUUGGAGGAGGGGAACACACUAACAUCUUAAUACAUUAACCAAAAACUAAAUAAUUGCAUAAUUUAUCUGAAGGCUUCCUUUUUUAUAUUCUCUCAUAUGCUGGGCAACGAUUAAAAAUUUUAAUUACAUGAUUUUCUUGCGAUUAAUCGCAUGUUUGUUAUGAAUUCUAAAGUAGUGUAUUGCACAAUUUUGAUUUAAAUUAAACUGCUAUAUACAAAAGUGCAGUAACAUGGUGGUUACCAAACACUUUAAACAAAUAAGGGGCUUUUUACCAGCAGUAUUCUCUUUACACAGCAGCAAUAAAAUAUUUCUUGUAAAUCUCAACUUAAACAUUAAUGUAAUCAAAUCAGAUAUUGAACCAAAGCUAUUUGCCACUGCCAGGGCGUUACCUUUUAUCUAGCUUGUUUAAACAAGUUACCAUCAGAGUCCAGUUUUCUUGGGGUUUUUCAGCAGAGAAAAUAAGUAUGACUGCGCCCAGCUGAUGUGGUCACUCUCGCGCAGAGAGUCCCCCGCCUCACACCCGUGUCAAAGGUGAAAGCGAGCCUUACAACUUUGAGAGGAUGAAGAGGGACAAUCCUUCUGGGCACAAGAAGAGGAAAAGCUGAAUGACAGCAGCACAGCAGUCAGGAAGGGGCCGCCUGGCACAAUAACUCAGGCCGGGAAUUUCCCAGACAGACUGCACAGACCUGGUCCAGACGUCGGUCAUGUCACACAGACCCAGGUCAAACACAGGCAGCCUCAGCCAGCAUCAGAUACAAGCAGCUCAGACCUUAAUGGAACAACUGCUGCUCCACCAAAUGACCCAGCAGAUUGGCCCCCAGUCUUUUCAGACUUCAUGGGGACUGAGUUCAAACUCUGUUCAAACUGGCACUGGGUUUUUCUAGUAGAGGUUUCUAUUCAGGCUUCUUACAGAGGGAUUGUAGUGAGAGCGUAGUGGUGUCUGGCGUGACUGUGCAGCAAUGGCAAAUUGUUUACAUGGCUCACGAGUCUAAAACAUUUCAUCACAUAAGCAGAGCGAUAACGCAGGCUGAUCCCUGAACAACCCUCUUUUUCCUCUUGCAACUCAGUUUUCUUUAUUGUGAUUCACUGUAACUUCUGAUGCUGUAUUCAAACCUGUCUUCAGUGAAUUUAAAAAGUUAGAUUGCUCUUUGUAAAAUCAACAUAUAUGAAUGUGUACUUUUUACUUUCGAUACUUGAGUGCUUUUAAAAUCAGCCGCUGGAGUCGCCCCCUGCUGGCUGCUGGAGAGGACGCAGGUUUAAGUCGCCCC